GGAGAGAUGGCCGAGCGGUUUAAGGCACCGGUCUUGAAAACCGGCGCAGUGGCGACACUGCCGUGGGUUCGAAUCCCACUCUCUCCGCCA
rnacentral:tRNA from 1 species